rnacentral:tRNA from 1 species
CAAUGGUAAAGGUAGAGCCUGGCGCAUAGAUACUCGUCGCCUGCUUACGGAUGGUACGCAGCCAGUAAAAACCGUC